rnacentral:rRNA from 1 species
GAUGAACGCUGGCGGCGUGCCUAAUACAUGCAAGUCGAGCGAACGGACGAGAAGCUUGCUUCUCUGAUGUUAGCGGCGGACGGGUGAGUAACACGUGGAUAACCUACCUAUAAGACUGGGAUAACUUCGGGAAACCGGAGCUAAUACCGGAUAAUAUUUUGAACCGCAUGGUUCAAAAGUGAAAGACGGUCUUGCUGUCACUUAUAGAUGGAUCCGCGCUGCAUUAGCUAGUUGGUAAGGUAACGGCUUACCAAGGCAACGAUGCAUAGCCGACCUGAGAGGGUGAUCGGCCACACUGGAACUGAGACACGGUCCAGACUCCUACGGGAGGCAGCAGUAGGGAAUCUUCCGCAAUGGGCGAAAGCCUGACGGAGCAACGCCGCGUGAGUGAUGAAGGUCUUCGGAUCGUAAAACUCUGUUAUUAGGGAAGAACAUAUGUGUAAGUAACUGUGCACAUCUUGACGGUACCUAAUCAGAAAGCCACGGCUAACUACGUGCCAGCAGCCGCGGUAAUACGUAGGUGGCAAGCGUUAUCCGGAAUUAUUGGGCGUAAAGCGCGCGUAGGCGGUUUUUUAAGUCUGAUGUGAAAGCCCACGGCUCAACCGUGGAGGGUCAUUGGAAACUGGAAAACUUGAGUGCAGAAGAGGAAAGUGGAAUUCCAUGUGUAGCGGUGAAAUGCGCAGAGAUAUGGAGGAACACCAGUGGCGAAGGCGACUUUCUGGUCUGUAACUGACGCUGAUGUGCGAAAGCGUGGGGAUCAAACAGGAUUAGAUACCCUGGUAGUCCACGCCGUAAACGAUGAGUGCUAAGUGUUAGGGGGUUUCCGCCCCUUAGUGCUGCAGCUAACGCAUUAAGCACUCCGCCUGGGGAGUACGACCGCAAGGUUGAAACUCAAAGGAAUUGACGGGGACCCGCACAAGCGGUGGAGCAUGUGGUUUAAUUCGAGGCAACGCGAAGAACCUUACCAAAUCUUGACAUCCUUUGACAACUCUAGAGAUAGAGCCUUCCCCUUCGGGGGACAAAGUGACAGGUGGUGCAUGGUUGUCGUCAGCUCGUGUCGUGAGAUGUUGGGUUAAGUCCCGCAACGAGCGCAACCCUUAAGCUUAGUUGCCAUCAUUAAGUUGGGCACUCUAAGUUGACUGCCGGUGACAAACCGGAGGAAGGUGGGGAUGACGUCAAAUCACCAUGCCCCUUAUGAUUUGGGCUACACACGUGCUACAAUGGACAAUACAAAGGGCAGCGAAACCGCGAGGUCAAGCAAAUCCCAUAAAGUUGUUCUCAGUUCGGAUUGUAGUCUGCAACUCGACUACAUGAAGCUGGAAUCGCUAGUAAUCGUAGAUCAGCAUGCUACGGUGAAUACGUUCCCGGGUCU